CAACGGGGUGUUAAUACUGAGAAGCUUAAGGGCUAACCCGAUGAACCUGAUACGGAUAAUACCGGCGUAGGGAUUGAGAUAAAA
rnacentral:ncRNA from 1 species